rnacentral:rRNA from 1 species
GUAGUCAUAUGCUUGUCUCAAAGAUUAAGCCAUGCAUGUCUAAGUAUAAGCAAUUAUACAGCGAAACUGCGAAUGGCUCAUUAUAUAAGUUAUCGUUUAUUUGAUAGUACCUUACUACUUGGAUAACCGUGGUAAUUCUAGAGCUAAUACAUGCUAAAAAUCCCGACUUCGGAAGGGAUGUAUUUAUUAGAUUAAAAACCAAUGCCCUCCGGGGCUCACUGGUGAUUCAUGAUAACUCCUCGAAUCGCAUGGCCUUGCGCCGGCGAUGGUUCAUUCAAAUUUCUUCCCUAUCAACUUUCGAUGUUUGGGUAUUGGCCAAACAUGGUUGCAACGGGUAACGGAAU